rnacentral:lncRNA from 1 species
CAAACUGGCAAGACGACAUAAGCAUUGUCUUAUGGUCCUUCAGUUAAAAAAAAAAUUGUGUAAAAACAAAAAUGGACAAAGACCCAUUAAUUUCAUGGUGGUUGUAGUGGGUUGAAAGGUGGCCCCCUAAAAUGUAUGUCCACCCCUGGAAACUGGGGAUGUGACCUUUUUUGGGGAAAGGGUCUUUUCUAAUGUGAUUAAGUUAAGGAUUGCAAAAUGAGAGCAUCCUGGAUUUGGGUGGACCCUAAAUCGAAUGUUAUGUGUACUGAGAAGAGAAGGGAGAAGACAGAGGAGAAUGCCAGAUGAAGACAGAAACAGAGAUUGAAGUUAUGUGGCCAUAAUUCAAGGAUUGCUGGCAACACCAGAAGCCAAGAGAAAGAUGAGGAAGAAUUCUCCCCUAGACCUUUCAGAAGGAGCGUGGCCCAGCCAACACCCUGACUUCAGACUUCUGGCCUCCAGAACUCAGCCUCCUGGCCGGGGAUAGCCAAUAGCCCCAGCCCACUGAAAGCCUGGUGAGCAGAAAGGGAAGAGAAACA